UGAGGAAUAUUGGUCAAUGGGCGCGAGCCUGAACCAGCCAAGUCGCGUGAGGGAUGACGGCCCUACGGGUUGUAAACCUCUUUUGUCGGGGAGCGAAAUUCCGCCACGUGUGGCGGAGUCGAGAGUACCCGAAGAAAAGCAUCGGCUAACUCCGUGCCAGCAGCCGCGUAAUCUCACUGU
rnacentral:rRNA from 1 species